GACAUCAUCAAUCAGCGUGGGGGGUGGCAGCUGCACCAGCUGCAUGGCUAAUGGAGUCUAAGUAGUUCCAGAGGCCAGGGGAAUCUUCUGGAAUUUUUGAGGAGCGCUGGUUAUGGAGUGAAUAAUUCCAGUUUGUGCAACUGAAGACACAAGACUUUGAGAACUCCACUAUCAAAUCAUACAUCACUUAAACCUACAAGAUUGUCAACAUUACAAAAGGGACUGCUGAUUGCUACCUCACUAGUGAACAGGACCAAGUUAAAGAAUUCACCUGAGGAAUCACAUAGGACAAUUCCAAUCUGACUACUCCUACAGUUUCUCUCUCUGGAAUGGUAAAAUUACCAAUGGGGAAAACAACUCAAGGAUCAAGUUAAAGGAGAACAGAGUCACCAAUAAAAGAAGCAGCUGUCGCUCUCUGAACAGAUACACGAAAUGAUAAACACCUGCAGCUCCGUCCUGGCCAAUUCCAUCACUGUCACGGCUUUGCUUGCAACCCAGUGACAAGGAAAAGAUCACACAAAAUCCCGAACAUUGAAAUGAAUGAAUGCAAUUUACAUCAUGCAGCAUGUCAGCAUAGCUACUGCGAUGCCAAGACAAAGCACAUCAGUGGUACCAACCAGAAAGAACAUUCUUUAAAAAUGCAGACUACAUAACAUGAAUAUUUUAUCUACUGCACCUUUUUCUGUAUUAAAUAUGUUAUAGAGGCUGAACUAUAAUGGAAGCUGAACAAUUGAAGGCCAUGCUGCAGUAAAAGGAAAUAAAGACUUUUUUUUUGA